CUGGCGGCAGGCUUAACACAUGCAAGUCGAACGAUGAYUYUCUAGCUUGCURGARAUGAUUAGUGGCGGACGGGUGAGUAACAUUUAGGAAUCUGCCUAGUAGUGGGGGAUAGCUCGGGGAAACUCGAAUUAAUACCGCAUACGACCUACGGGUGAAAGGGGGCGCAAGCUCUUGCUAUUAGAUGAGCCUAAAUCAGAUUAGCUAGUUGGUGGGGUAAAGGCCCACCAAGGCGACGAUCUGUAACUGGUCUGAGAGGAUGAUCAGUCACACCGGAACUGAGACACGGUCCGGACUCCUACGGGAGGCAGCAGUGGGGAAUAUUGGACAAUGGGGGCAACCCUGAUCCAGCCAUGCCGCGUGUGUGAAGAAGGCCUUUUGGUUGUAAAGCACUUUAAGCAGGGAGGAGAGGCUAAUGGUUAAUACCCAUUAGAUUAGACGUUACCUGCAGAAUAAGCACCGGCUAACUCUGUGCCAGCAGCCGCGGUAAUACAGAGGGUGCGAGCGUUAAUCGGAAUUACUGGGCGUA
rnacentral:rRNA from 1 species